rnacentral:rRNA from 1 species
GACGUAGGGCGCGAGCGUUGUCCGGAUUUAUUGGGCGUAAAGCGCACGUAGGCGGAUUGUUAAGUCAGGGGUGAAAUCCCAGAGCUCAACUCUGGAACUGCCUUUGAUACUGGCAAUCUCGAGUCCGGAAGAGGUGAGUGGAACUCCUAGUGUAGAGGUGGAAUUCGUAGAUAUUAGGAAGAACACCAGUGGCGAAGGCGGCUCACUGGUCCGGAACUGACGCUGAGGUGCGAAAGCGUGGGGAGCAAACAGG